rnacentral:rRNA from 1 species
AUUAACGCUAGCGGCAGGCAUAAUACAUGCAAGUUGAACGGCAGCACAGGUAGCAAUACUGAGUGGCGAGUGGCGCACGGGUGCGUAACACGUAUGCAACCUACCCUAUACAGGCGAAUAACCUUUAGAAAUGAGGGCUAAUACGCCGUAGUAUUACAGAUGGGCAUCUAUUUGUAAUUAAAGAUUUAUCGGUAUAGGAUGGGCAUGCGUCCCAUUAGUUAGUUGGUAAGGUAACGGCUUACCAAGACGAUGAUGGGUA